UGUUGGUUCUCCCGCAACGCUACUCUGUUUACCAGGUCAGGUCCGGAAGGAAGCAGCCAGGGCAGA
rnacentral:SRP_RNA from 1 species